rnacentral:misc_RNA from 1 species
AAUUCUCAACCUUUUCAGCUUUUUCUGUUGAUCAGGCUUGGAUGUGGGAGUAUGCGGGCUUCUCAUCUCAGAGGUCGGCUCUCCUGAAAUGCAUUAGCGGGACCUUUGUUGCCUGGCUUUGGUGUGAUAAAUUAUUUAUGCCAUCGUGAAGAGCAGCUUUAUAAAUGGGGUUCAGCUUCUAAAUGGUCUCCUUUGAGACCAACUUCUGACA